UACGUAGGGGGCAAGCGUUGUCCGGAUUUAUUGGGCGUAAAGAGCGUGUAGGCGGCCGUACAGGUCAGCUGUGAAAACUCGAGGCUCAACCUCGAGACGUCGGUUGAAACCGUACGGCUAGAGUCCGGAAGAGGAGAGUGGAAUUCCCGGUGUAGCGGUGAAAUGCGCAGAUAUCGGGAAGAACACCCGUGGCGAAGGCGGCUCUCUGGGACGGUACUGACGCUGAGACGCGAAGGCGUGGGGAGCGAACAGG
rnacentral:rRNA from 1 species